CCUACGGGUGGCUGCAGUAGGGAAUUUUGCACAAUGGGCGCAAGCCUGAUGCAGCAAUGCCGCGUGAGUGAAGAAGGCUCUUGGGUUGUAAAGCUCUUUCGGCUGGGAAGAAGGGGUAUCCCUCGAACAGGUGGAUAUUCUGACGGUACCAGAAGAAGAAGCACCUGCUAACUUCGUGCCAGCAGCAGCGGUAAUACGAAGGGUGCAAGCGUUGUUCGGAAUUACUGGGCGUAAAGCGCGCGUAGGCGGGGAAAGCCCUGGGCUUAACCUGGGAAUUGCAGUCGAAACUGACGGUCUUGAGUGCCUGAGAGGAUGGCGGAAUUCCCGGUGUAGUAGUGAAAUACGUAGAUAUCGGGAAGAACACCUGAGGCGAAGGCGGCUAUCUGGCGGUGCACUGACGCUGAGGCGCGAAAGCGUGGGGAGCAAACAGGAUUAGAUACCCUUGUAGUC
rnacentral:rRNA from 1 species